rnacentral:rRNA from 1 species
GGGAAACCGGGGCUAAUACCGGAUGGUUGUUUGAACCGCAUGGUUCAGACAUAAAAGGUGGCUUCGGCUACCACUUACAGAUGGACCCGCGGCGCAUUAGCUAGUUGGUGAGGUAACGGCUCACCAAGGCGACGAUGCGUAGCCGACCUGAGAGGGUGAUCGGCCACACUGGGACUGAGACACGGCCCAGACUCCUACGGGAGGCAGCAGUAGGGAAUCUUCCGCAAUGGACGAAAGUCUGACGGAGCAACGCCGCGUGAGUGAUGAAGGUUUUCGGAUCGUAAAGCUCUGUUGUUAGGGAAGAACAAGUGCCGUUCAAAUAGGGCGGCACCUUGACGGUACCUAACCAGAAAGCCACGGCUAACUACGUGCCAGCAGCCGCGGUAAUACGUAGGUGGCAAGCGUUGUCCGGAAUUAUUGGGCGUAAAGGGCUCGCAGGCGGUUUCUUAAGUCUGAUGUGAAAGCCCCCGGCUCAACCGGGGAGGGUCAUUGGAAACUGGGGAACUUGAGUGCAGAAGAGGAGAGUGGAAUUCCACGUGUAGCGGUGAAAUGCGUAGAGAUGUGGAGGAACACCAGUGGCGAAGGCGACUCUCUGGUCUGUAACUGACGCUGAGGAGCGAAAGCGUGGGGAGCGAACAGGAUUAGAUACCCUGGUAGUCCACGCCGUAAACGAUGAGUGCUAAGUGUUAGGGGGUUUCCGCCCCUUAGUGCUGCAGCUAACGCAUUAAGCACUCCGCCUGGGGAGUACGGUCGCAAGACUGAAACUCAAAGGAAUUGACGGGGGCCCGCACAAGCGGUGGAGCAUGUGGUUUAAUUCGAAGCAACGCGAAGAACCUUACCAGGUCUUGACAUCCUCUGACAAUCCUAGAGAUAGGACGUCCCCUUCGGGGGCAGAGUGACAGGUGGUGCAUGGUUGUCGUCAGCUCGUGUCGUGAGAUGUUGGGUUAAGUCCCGCAACGAGCGCAACCCUUGAUCUUAGUUGCCAGCAUUCAGUUGGGCACUCUAAGGUGACUGCCGGUGACAAACCGGAGGAAGGUGGGGAUGACGUCAAAUCAUCAUGCCCCUUAUGACCUGGGCUACACACGUGCUACAAUGGACAGAACAAAGGGCAGCGAAACCGCGAGGUUAAGCCAAUCCCACAAAUCUGUUCUCAGUUCGGAUCGCAGUCUGCAACUCGACUGCGUGAAGCUGGAAUCG